rnacentral:rRNA from 1 species
UACGUAGGGGGCAAGCGUUGUCCGGAAUUACUGGGCGUAAAGAGCUCGUAGGUGGUUUGUCGCGUUGUUCGUGAAAACUCACAACUCAAUUGUGGGCGUGCGGGCGAUACGGGCAGACUGGAGUACUGCAGGGGAGACUGGAAUUCCUGGUGUAGCGGUGGAAUGCGCAGAUAUCAGGAGGAACACCGGUGGCGAAGGCAGCUCGCUGGGACGGUACUGACGCUGAGGCGCGAAAGCGUGGGGAGCGAACAGG